UUUUUUUUUUUUUUUUUUUUUUUUAUUUCAUGAACAAUAUAUAAAUGUAAUGACUUUUAGUGCAACGAAAGACAAUAGUUUAGAGAAAAAGUGAACAAAGGAGAAUUAAAAAAAAAACAAAGGGUUGCGAAAGGUCGGGACUGUGACACAACAUUCAAGAUAAUUAAUGGAGGCCGAGAUUGAACGGUGAUCGAGCAAAUAUUGUUUUAAAAAAAAAAACUUAAAUAUUU